UCCUGGCUGAUUCCCAGUGGUCUUGGAUGCAAGCUUCAAACCUGCUGCUGUCUAGCAACAGAGUGGUUCAAUUCCACCUUCCAGGUG